AUGUUGAAAAAUUAGCGGAUGACCUGUGGCUGGGGGUGAAAGGCCAAUCAAACCGGGAGAUAGCUGGUUCUCCCCGAAAGCUAUUUAGGUAGCGCCUCGUGAAUUCAUCUCCGGGGGUAGAGCACUGUUUCGGCUAGGGGGCCAUCCCGGCUUACCAACCCGAUGCAAACUGCGAAUACCGGAGAAUGUUAUCACGGGAGACACACGGCGGGUGCUAACGUCCGUCGUGAAGAGGGAAACAACCCAGACCGCCAGCUAAGGUCCCAAAGUCAUGGUUAAGUGGGAAACGAUGUGGGAAGGCCCAGACAGCCAGGAUGUUGGCUUAGAAGCAGCCAUCAUUUAAAGAAAGCGUAAUAGCUCACUGGUCGAGUCGGCCUGCGCGGAAGAUGUAACGGGGCUAAACCAUGCACCGAAGCUGCGGCAGCGAACGUAUCACUUAAAGCGAUUCAGCGGGUUACGAUUGACGGAGCGAAGCGACGUCAAAGCGUAUACAAAGUCGAGUCGGUUUAAGGAUACGUUCGUUGGGUAGGGGAGCGUUCUGUAAGCCUGUGAAGGUGUGUCGUGAGGCAUGCUGGAGGUAUCAGAAGUGCGAAUGCUGACAUAAGUAACGAUAAAGCGGGUGAAAAGCCCGCUCGCCGGAAGACCAAGGGUUCCUGUCCAACGUUAAUCGGGGCAGGGUGAGUCGACCCCUAAGGCGAGGCCGAAAGGCGUAGUCGAUGGGAAACGGGUUAAUAUUCCCGUACUUGGUGUUACUGCGAAGGGGGGACGGAGAAGGCUAUGUUGGCCGGGCGACGGUUGUCCCGGUUUAAGCGUGUAGGUGUGUGUUCCAGGUAAAUCCGGUUCACUUUAACACUGAGGCGUGAUGACGAGGCACUACGGUGCUGAAGCAACAAAUGCCCUGCUUCCAGGAAAAGCCUCUAAGCAUCAGGUAACAUCAAAUCGUACCCCAAACCGACACAGGUGGUCAGGUAGAGAAUACCAAGGCGCUUGAGAGAACUCGGGUGAAGGAACUAGGCAAAAUGGUGCCGUAACUUCGGGAGAAGGCACGCUGACAUGUAGGUGAAGUGAUUUACUCA
rnacentral:rRNA from 1 species